rnacentral:rRNA from 1 species
UAGAGUUUGAUCAUGGCUCAGAUUGAACGCUGGCGGCAGGCCUAACACAUGCAAGUCGAGCGGAAACGACAUUAUUGAUUCUUCGGAGGAUUUAAUGGGCGUCGAGCGGCGGACGGGUGAGUAAUGCCUAGGAAAUUGCCUUGAUGUGGGGGAUAACCAUUGGAAACGAUGGCUAAUACCGCAUAAUGCCUACGGGCCAAAGAGGGGGACCUUCGGGCCUCUCGCGUCAAGAUAUGCCUAGGUGGGAUUAGCUAGUUGGUGAGGUAAUGGCUCACCAAGGCGACGAUCCCUAGCUGGUCUGAGAGGAUGAUCAGCCACACUGGAACUGAGACACGGUCCAGACUCCUACGGGAGGCAGCAGUGGGGAAUAUUGCACAAUGGGCGAAAGCCUGAUGCAGCCAUGCCGCGUGUAUGAAGAAGGCCUUCGGGUUGUAAAGUACUUUCAGUUGUGAGGAAGGGUGUGUAGUUAAUAGCUGCAUAUCUUGACGUUAGCAACAGAAGAAGCACCGGCUAACUUCGUGCCAGCAGCCGCGGUAAUACGGAGGGUGCGAGCGUUAAUCGGAAUUACUGGGCGUAAAGCGCAUGCAGGUGGUUCAUUAAGUCAGAUGUGAAAGCCCGGGGCUCAACCUCGGAACUGCAUUUGAAACUGGUGAACUAGAGUGCUGUAGAGGGGGGUAGAAUUUCA